AGUCUGCAUUUUCUUUCCUUCCUUGAUGCUUACUGUGGAUCUGAACUCUGCUGUUUCCAUUAUCUUAAAGGGUAAAUUAGGUUAUUUCAUUGAUACGUUAGUUUCACAUCAGGAUAUUUGCAGUUGUAAGUUUGUCUUAAAUUUUGAAAUGACACUUUUACAUUUUCUUUCACUUCAUCUUAUGCUCCCCAAUUUUCAGUGCUAUGUUGAAUCCAAUUGUCCCUUAUUCCCGUGGUGUCUAAUUUGUACAAAUAUCUGAGUUUCUAAGUUUUUCCAUUCACUAAUGAUUUCACUUCUUGUGGUUAGGCAAUCUAUUUGGCAGGAUCCGGAUCCAUUAAAAGUUAUGUGCCCUUUCUUGUCUCACGGAGAACAAUAUGGAGAUGUUGAACACGGAUGCUUUUUUUUUUGUUUUCCAUUUGUGCAGUGUCUUUUAUAGAUGUUUAUUUAUCCUAGUUGACUUACAUCUUUGGUUAACUCUUCAAUUUCCUUGUCAAGCUUUUGCUUAUUAUUGAAAGUAAAUAUUGAAGUCUUUAACUACUAUUGUUAAAUUAUUCUUUUAUUAUUUUCUUUGCGCAUUUUAGAACUCUGUUGUUAAAGGUAUACAUAUUUAUAACUGUUUAAUUACUAUUAAAUUGUUCCUAUUUUAGUUUAUAUUCUUAGUGUUCUAGGAAUAUAUAUCAGAAACUAGAAUAUUAGUUAUUGAGAACUGAAUUUAGAUUUAUACCAACUUGAUUAUUAUGAUCUACUUAUUCCAAAAUAGCUCCAUGGCUUCUCUUUUUGUGCUAUAAUUGUGUGUGUGUGUGUAUGCAUAUAUACUUAUAUAUAUAUAUGCAUAUAUAUUUAUAUGUGCAUAUAUAUACAUACAUAUAUGUAUGCAUGUUAUCCUUUUCAUAUGUCCAAAGAUAUCAUCUUAAACAUCAAUUAAAGAUGUAUCAAAAAUAUAUUUUAGAAUUAUUAAUCUGUAUAUGUAUAUACUAAAGAAUCUAAGAAAAGAGAGUAAAUGCACAUUCACAGAGUUUCUUAGUCUUAUUUGUUGAUAUCCUUAUUUUCAUUUCAUUCCAGUGAUUCAAGUUACUGACUGUCAUUUUCUCACUCUAAUUUUGCUUUGUUCCCAUCUGCCUCUGUGCUGUUAUUGUGAAGGGAGCUGUGUAUGUGUGUAUUGAAGCUCUAAUCGUUCAAUAAUACAGUAUUGUCUUAUAUAGUUGCCUUUUGAUAUAAGUAAGAAAUGCCCAUUUAGCACUCCUUUAUAGUGACCUAAUUACAUUUUCUGAUGUUUUGUUGUUGUGUUAAUAAAGGUUCUGUCUAUCAC
rnacentral:lncRNA from 1 species